rnacentral:rRNA from 1 species
UCACACCCCCAGGUCAGGAGAGAACACUCGCUGAGUUUAAGCAUAUCACUAAGCGGAGGAAAAGAAACUUACAAG